rnacentral:rRNA from 1 species
UGCUCGAGUGGCGAACGGGUGAGUAACACGCGAGUAACCUGCCCUUGACUUUGGGAUAACUCCAGGAAACUGGGGCUAAUACCGGAUAGGAGCUCCUGCUGCAUGGUGGGGGUUGGAAAGUUUCGGCGGUUGGGGAUGGACUCGCGGCUUAUCAGCUUGUUGGUGGGGUAGUGGCUUACCAAGGCUUUGACGGGUAGCCGGCCUGAGAGGGUGACCGGCCACAUUGGGACUGAGAUACUGCCCAG